rnacentral:lncRNA from 1 species
UUAAUUUUUAAUUAUAUUUAAUUAAUUGCUCUAUUUAUUUGACUUAAUUGUAUUCAUAUAAAUAGGAAAAUAGGUAAAAAAAAUCACAUUAGGGGGCACCCACCAAAUAUACACUACACAAUACUACCCCUCUCACAACAACGAGUCCUUCACACACCUACGUGAAACCACAAGAAAAUCAUAGAGAAAUAAUAUUCAUCACAAACCCACUAUCAUACGUCCAUACACAAUAAUCUCUCAUUUUACACAUGAAAAAAAUCCACAUACACAUGAUCUUCAUCACAACUAUCUAUACCAAUCACUCUACCAUAUUAUCAUCACCAUUUCAAACUAAGUUCACACACUUACACUCAUCACUCACAUAUGAGAAAAAAGCCAGUAGAAAAUAACUUGCAGAAAAAAAAUACAUCCACUUACUCAUUGAAAACCUUUAUUUUUUGUGACUUUAUUCACUAAUAAUGCUUACUAUCUAAAACCUUGCACAACUUCAUUAACAAACAAAAAUGUUAAGCCCAAAAACUAGCUAAGUUUUCAUCAUGAAUCUUUCCUUGAUCAUUACACUUGAUACACAUCUUCACCAUAAUUAAGCCAAAAACAAACUACCCAAAAAAUCAAUCUGUCUCACAAAUCAAUAAGAAUUCACUCCAGUACCUCUAACAAUGUUUAACAAAUCCGCACGGAGUCGCACCACCGAGCACAACCUCCGAUCGCCGUCGGACGCUGCCACACAAUCUCCGAUCGAGAGUCUCCCUCCGCCUCUACCGCUGGUAUAGUAUUUUUUUCAUGCUUCAAUCUUUCUUGUUAUGGUGUUUUGGUGAUCAUGAGAUGAGAACUUUUGCAUUGAAUAUUGUUGUUGUGUGUGAGCAAGGAAAAGAGAUAUUUUUACAGGGAAGGAAAAUGGAAGAAAAGGAAAAGGGGUUUGUGUUACGGAGAGAUGGAGGAAUUGUACUAUUCACGAUGCAAUUAUAUCAUGUUCCAAUGUUUUUUUUUGUUUUUUUAUUUUCUUUCCAUCACCACGUGUCGAAAGAUCAUUGGUAGUCAAAAGUCAAAAGGAGAUAGUAAUGAGGGCUUCCCCCUUUUACGUUGAUGUUAACUCUUUUUCUUAUAUAUAUAUAUUUUAUUUAUUUAUUUUUAUUUCCUCUCUUAUGAUUAAAUUAUUAUUGUAUUUUAAUUAUAUUUGUUUUAGAGUUUGUUUGGUGUUACUUUGGGCCCUUGGGCCCUCUUCCUCUUGACACCCC